GUGGGGAAUUUUGGACAAUGGGCGAAAGCCUGAUCCAGCAAUGCCGCGUGUGUGAAGAAGGCCUUCGGGUUGUAAAGCACUUUUGGCAGGGAAGAAACAGUGCGUGCUAAUACCAUGCGCGAAUGACGGUACCUGCAGAAUAAGCACCGGCUAACUACGUGCCAGCAGCCGCGGUAAUACGUAGGGUGCAAGCGUUAAUCGGAAUUACUGGGCGUAAAGCGUGCGCAGGCGGCUUCGUAAGACGGAUGUGGAAGCCCCGGGCUCAACCUGGGAAGUGCAUUCGUGACUGCAAGGCUAGAGUGUGUCAGAGGGAGGUGGAAUUCCGCGUGUAGCAGUGAAAUGCGUAGAGAUGCGGAGGAACACCGAUGGCGAAGGCAGCCUCCUGGGAUAACACUGACGCUCAGGCACGAAAGCGUGGGGAGCAAACAGGAUUAGAAACCCGGGUAGUCC
rnacentral:rRNA from 1 species